CGAUUGAAAANCCAAAUAUGCUAUGUCNUUCAACAACUAACUACCCCGAGUAGUCCUGGCUGUAAACUCUGCGAGCAAGGUGUUGCACAUUCUUCGAGGAUGUGCAGUGUCGAAGAGAAGUCGUUAAGCUCGCCGCCUGGGGAGUACGGUCGCAAGACUGAAACUUAAAGGAAUUGGCGGGGGAGUACUACAAGGGGUGCGGCGUGCGGUUUAAUUUAAUUCAACGCAGCGAAUCUCACCAGGGGCGACGGCAGAAUGAAGGCCAGACUAACGGUCUUGCCAGACAAGCCGAGAGAUGGUGCAUGGCCACCGGCAGCUCGUGCCGUGUAACCUCUUAGGAAAAGCUUAACCAAAACAGCCUCACCUAAAGGUUCGGCAAAGGUGUCGUGUUAAAAAUUGCGUGUUACGUUUUCAUGUAAGCGCAGCUUGCACAGAGUCACGCAACGAGCGAGACCUGCACCCACAAUUGCCAACGGACUCAGAGACCGGGAACGUUGAGGGGACUGCCCUCGUAAGGGGGAGGAAGGCGCAGGCCACGGUAAGUCCGUACGCCUCGAAUCUCCUGGGCUACACGCGCGCAACAGAGGCAGGAACAAUGGGACGCAACACCGAAAGGUGAAGCUAAUCCUCUAAAUCCUGUCGAGGUCCAGAUCGAGGGCUGUAACUCGCCCUCGUGACGUUGGAAUCCCUAGUAAUCGGACGUCAACAUCGUCUGGUGAACAUGUCCCUGCUCC
rnacentral:rRNA from 1 species